AUUGAACGCUGGCGGCAGGCCUAAAACAUGCAAGUCGAACGAGUGGCGGACGGGUGAGUACUGUCUGGGAAACUGCCCGAUGGAGGGGGAUAACUACUGGAAACGGUAGAUAAUACCGCAUACCAUCGGAUGUGCCCAGAUGGGUUUAGCUAUUAGGGGGGGUAACGGCUCACCUCGGCGACGAGCCCUCGCUGGUUUGAGAGGAUGACCAGCCACACUGGAACUGAGACACGGUCAGGACUCCUACGGGAGGCAGAAGUGGGGAAUAUUGCACAAUGGGCGCAAGCCGGAUGCAGCCAUGCCGCGUGUAUGAAGAAGGCCUUCGGGUUGUAAAGUACUUUCAGCGAGGAGGCGUUACUCGCAGAAGAAGCACCGGCUAACUCCGUGCCAGCAGCCGCGGUAAUUC
rnacentral:rRNA from 1 species